AGGUGCGAUCAUACCAGCACUAAUGCAGCGAAUCGAUUUAGAACUCCGCAGGUAAUCGUGCUUGGGCGAGAGUAGUACUAGGAUGGGUGACCUCCUGGGAAAUCCUCGUGCUUGCACUUC
rnacentral:rRNA from 1 species